GAGUUUGAUCUUGGCUCAGAACGAACGCUGGCGGCGUGGAUAAGACAUGCAAGUCGAACGCUUAUCUUCGGGUAGCAAUAUUCGAAGGUAGGAGUGGCGCAAGGGUGCGUAACACGUGGAUCAUCUGCCUGGAAGUUCGGAAUAAUUCCUCGAAAGAGGGACUAAUGCCGGAUGUGGUUGGAAGACUAAAGUUGGGGACCGCAAGGCCUGACGCUUCCAGAUGAGUCCGCGGCCUAUCAGCUAGUUGGCGGGGUAAUGGCCCACCAAGGCUAAGACGGGUAGCUGGUCUGAGAGGACGACCAGCCUCACUGGAACUGAGACACGGUCCAGACACCUACGGGUGGCAGCAGUCGAGUAAUUUUUCUCAAGUGGGGGAAACCCUGAAGGAGCGACGCCGCGUGAGGGAUGGAAGGGCUUCGGCCCGUAAACCUCUGUCAUUUGCGGACAAACGUCAUGGUUGAACAUUCCAUGGCUUGAUUGUAGCGAAAGAGGGAAGGGACGGCUAACUCUGUGCCAGCAGCCGAC
rnacentral:rRNA from 2 species